GUUUGAUCCUUAUUUGCCGUUUUGGAGAUCCUAAGUCGUCAGAUAUGGGCCAUUUUAUAAGGUUCACCCUAAUGCCCUUUCGAAAAAUUUUGAAAGUGGGAAAUGAGAGUAGAAAGCCAAAGAUAGAUGCCUCUGAAGAACAACCGAAGAAGAGCCCACAACAUAGACUAAGAGAAAUGUGCACCUAUCAUGUGUCAAGGUGCUUUUCAUUCCACCCUCAUAACAACUUUUCAAGGGAGGUUCAAUUAUCGCAAUUUUACGGAUGAAAAAAAAGGGAGACUAAGAGAGGAUGACUUGUCCAAAGCCAGGAAGGUUUGGAGAGGCAAAAGUGAGUUUUGAACCUAAGGCCCUGGGUAUGCCGCCUACACAGGCCCCCACACCUGGUUUAAUGCUCACUGUUGCUGUCGCGAAAUUCUUAUUUAUUUUUUAACAAGCGGCCCCAUAUUUUAUUUUUUGUUCUGGGUACUAUCAAGGAAGUAGCUGGGCCUGUUUUCUGGCUCUAAAACCCGUGCUUUCUCCCAGUAUACAAACUAUUCUUCUUAAGAGCCUUAAAAAGGCAUUGUUUUCUUCCUCUGUGCUCCGUGGUACUUUGUAUUCCACUCUGUCAGUCCUCAUAUUUAAUCUGUGACCCAGAGCCUAUUAAGGGGAUAAGCAACCAGUUUAUCUAUUAUGGUAUGUUGCUCUAUUAAGUGAUGCUUAUCACUGGAACAAACUGACAAAAUGUAAAUCGGCCUCCUCCAAACUACUGCCUUUGAGGGGAAAUUUAAACAACAACACUGUUUUCUAAAGCAGACCUAUAUCCCUGCUGAAUUUUUCUGCAACAUCAACAAACAGUAGCUCUCAAACAAAAGCAGAACAGAGAUCCUAAAAGCAAAUAAUGUAUGAGUAGUGCCGUGUAGCUGAUAGGUGUGACUUUUUGUUCCUUAAACUGUGAGCUCUUCAGGGUGCCCUAAGGAACUUGUCUGGUUCCAAAAAAUUAUGAAAGAGAGCUUGAAAAGAGGAGAGCUACAGGAGAAAUGAACUGACUGGUAUUUUCAGAAUACUGACUCUGCUUCAGUUAGAGAAAAUGAAUUCAAGUUAGUUUGUUUCUAGUAAACAAAAUAUUAAUAGAAAAUCUUUGUCAACCUGACUCCAUAUAUUAAAUAAUUAUUUAAAGAAAGUUGUUUGAAGGAGUACCUGCCCAGGUGCCUGCUGUUCUACUCAGCCCUCCUUUCCCCAGAUACCCAUGAGGUAGCUGUGGGCUGAGUCAGGUCAGGGAUAUUCUGCUUUCCACUGUGACAAGACCAGCAGAGUUGGGCAGACUUGAGAUAUCACCUCUUGGUCCACAAAGAAAAGAGGAUGAUGACUCUUAACUGCUCCCCUAAAAGCCUACCCUCCCCCUCCAGACAGCUUGUCUGCCAGUGUCAUUGGCCAAAAUUGGGUCAUAUGCAAAUACCUCAGCCAAGCUUCUUCAUAGGGCAUGUUGCCAGCAUGAUUGAUUUAGACCAAUCAGGAUCCACCCUGAGAUGGGAAUGAGGCCAGUCUGUGCUACAUAGUGGACGGGACUACCUGGCAAAGGCAGGGCUCUGCCAGCAGGAAUGAUGGAGGAUGGAUAUUGGAUGGACCAUCAAUAGUGCCUUCUGUGCUACAUCUAUUUAGACUGCCAGAGCCUUAUCAGGCAGGGAGCCUUUUUAAAUCCUUAAUCACAAGUCUUGGCCUCUUAAAAAAGUUAUUGGAAUUUGGGGAAGUGGCUGAGAAUAAGCUUUUCUAAUCAUUGUGUAUUCCUAAGGACAAAUUGGAUGUUAUUUUCUAAACACUAAAAACAUUAAACUUAGGGACACCUAGAGCUGUACAGAUGAGUCUCCCUACUUGAUGCUGUUCUCUCUAAAACCUUCUGUUUAUUCCACUUGGGAAAAAUGAAUCCAAGAAAAAACUUGUUCUUGCACAGAUCUGUCUGGUCAUUCAUUACACAUUCAACUGACUACGGUGCCCUCACAACACCCUUACUCCCCAGUCCCACAGAGGGACUCCUGCCUUAGCUACUUGCCAGACAGUUCCCACUUGAUGAUCUAAUCCACUCUUAUUUGUACUAGUCUAAAAUAAUCUUCACUUUCAUGUUUAAGGUUAUUCAUUACAUCAUUGUUACAGCAAAAGAUUGGAAAUAGCUUACAUACCAUCAAUAGGGAACAGGUUAUAUACCAUCAAUAGGGAACAGGUUCACACUUUGGAACACAGUGCAACUGUAAAACAAAAGGAAAAGGAAGCUGUUAAUGUAUUGAUAUAGAACUAUCUCCAGGAUAUAUGCAGAAAAAAACACAACAAGCUAUAGAGCAAUAUCCAUAUUAUACUAUAUUCUGUGUAAGGGGGAGAGGAGGAGAGGGGUAUUAGCAUGCAAACAUUUCCAGCUGCAUAAAUGAAUAUUGGGAAAAAAGUUGUUCUUAGUGGUGUGGAAGCAUAUAGGGAAUGAGGUGGUCAGGGUUAGGAAUGGGAAAGAAACUUCUUAAUGUAUACCAUUUUAUAUCAUUUGACUUUUGAACUAUGUGAAUAUAUUACCUAUUCAAAAUAUAGUAAAAUUGAAAACAAAAAUAAAAGAAUCUUCCACAUAUCUGUUUAACUUCCCAAUAAGCUAUAUUUCUGUUUAGGCAAUUCAAAAGCCUGCACAUUUUCCCCUCUCCAAGAACUGGGUAGGCACGGCAUAUUUUAGAUAAAGCCAAAUAUGGCCUGACAGAUCUGGGUCAGGACAUUCAGCUGGAAGCUGCUGCUUCCACAAAUGUUCAACCACAUAUGGCUAAUGACAAUAUCUUUUUCGUCCCUAAAGAAUGCCUCCCAAUGAUUAGUAUUUCUCUCCUAGAGGUUUGGAUGUGUUAGCUUCUCUCAUGGAUUUUCACGUGUCUGUAUAAAUCUUAGAUUUUAGAGAGCCGGUUUUCUUAUAUACUCAAGCUUUUAGGAUUUUGGUAUUCAUUUUUGUUUUUAUGCUGACAUACCAACAAAAGGUAGUGGAGGUAGAUCAGCCAUUCUGAUCUUUCAUUUCUGAUCUUUCUGAUCCUAAUUGCUAACUCAUUCACUGAAUAUAUUGCAUUAAUUUAACAAAUAUUUAUUGAGAAUCUAUUAGCCAAGACACUAUGCUAAGUGGUAGGAUACAAUGUGAGCAAGAUAGAGACCUUAUCUUCACUGACUUUGCAUCCUUCUGGAUGAGAAACAUGCUGAACAAUAGGAGGACAUGGAAGUGCAUAGCAGGUUCCUCCAGCCUAAUGUAGGAGUGAUUAGAGGACGCUUUUCCUGGAAGUGGAUGUAAGGUAUCUGUAGAAUGUGUAAAGACUGUCCAAGAGAAGAGGAAAACAUGAGAGUACAGUAGCUUCGAAAGCUUCACAGUACCUCCUGUUCCUGAUCAAGAAAACUGCCUUUCCAACAGCUGUACCAUUCAGGGCUGCAGAAUAAGCAGCUCCAAAUAGACUCAAGAGAUUCUCUGGCCAGAUUAAUCCCAUUAUGCUCACAUCCACAUUUACCUUAGUCCUUUCCAGAAGUCUGAGCCUUCAUAAUCUUACUCAAUCCUUCCCCUCCCCCACCACCAUUCCCAUGCAAACUCUUUGAGAGAGCCCUUUGGAAACUCAGAUCUAUGAUCAGCAAACCAGCUGAAGUAUUAGUGCAGUAAGCAAAAGGGUGCAUUGGCAUAAGACUGCCUAGAUUUAAAUCCUGGCUGUUACUGGGUGACCUUAAAUUAGGUCUUAGUGGGUGAAGAGGUACCCAGAAAGCUAAAAUCUUCAGUAAGGAAGAGAUAUAAGGAUGACAUGGCAUGAAUUUCAAAUUGGUAUAACCAUACAAACAAAAGAAUUAUCCAAAAGGCUUUAGAAAACAGUAUUUUCAAUGAAUAUCCUUAAUGGAGUAUAUUCCA
rnacentral:lncRNA from 1 species